GGCAGCGUGGCCGAGUGGUCUAAGGCGCUGGUUUUAGGCACCAGUACGAAAGUGCGUGGGUUCGAAUCCCACCGCUGUCA
rnacentral:tRNA from 1 species